GCUCGGGUGGCGGAAUGGUAGACGCGCUGGCUUCAGAAGCCAGUGUUCGCAAGAAUAUGGGAGUUCGACUCUCCCCCCGAGCA
rfam:Microgenomates (Levybacteria) bacterium GW2011_GWA2_40_16 TT85_C0002, whole genome shotgun sequence.